GGGAAUGUAGCACCAAAAUCAUAAGGCAGGUAAAAAUAUUGUUUUUUUUUUUAAAGGAAGGGGUGGGGGGGUGGGGGGAAGUGGUGGUGGUGUUUGGCAAUGAAUAAUGGAGCAAUCUCAGAUUACAAUGAAGCAGAGUCAAAAUGAGUGCUAAAACAUGUAGAGAUGGAGUGAACAAUAUAAAUCAAAAGCCCAUGCCUUGAAGUUUCCAAAAAAAUCACUGGGGCAAUUGCAAAUGGAAGACAAAUAGCAAUGCCUUGACAAACAACGUAUGCAAUUGAUCAAGGGAUUGUUCUCCCCAACUUGUAUGACCACCAUGUUGAGCAGUUUAAGCAGUUAAACAGGAAAGGAUUAUAUUAAAUCCCAAGGAAUAUGCCAUCUUAGCAUAUUGCCAAGAUUCUGAUUUAAAGCAAGAUCAUUAUUAAUGCCUCAUUGCCUAUCUACAUAUUCAUUAUUUCAAUUCAAAUGCACGCAAGAAAUCAAAUAGAUGGGAAAAUCUCAGCUAGCUGCAUAGCCUUGAAUGUGUAGCAGAUAGGCAUAUAUACAGGACUGUAAGUUUAAAUCAGUUUAUGCAGACACAUCAAUUUCUCAUAUAAAACAAAGAAAGUGUUGCAUGAAAACAAACAAGAUUGAUGGGCAAACAAGUGGAGCUAUAGAAUGAUCAUGCAAAUGAUGAGACUAGCUUUCCCGAAAGAACAUACAGAUAAAACCAAAAAACUACAAAGAAGGGGCAUCUGGGUUCUUUUUUGUGGGUGUGCUUUUUGUGGGGUUGGGGAAGAACUUAUAAAGGAAAAUGCUGCAAUAAAAGAGGAUGCUGCUGCAGAUAUUCUCACCUCCAAGAAAAGACUCAACACUCUUAUAUCGUAGAGCUGAUGUUUCAAUGGAAGCAUCUCCAUGAACCCCAACUUGACUUUCUAUUUCGCUUUUUUGUAUUGUCUCAAGUAACACAAACUUAUCUCUCUCCCAUAUGCACUCUAAAGUGACAAACUCCUUAUUUGUUGGAUAAUACUCCCUAAAAGCCUCAAUUCCUUCCUUAGUUAUUUUAAUCGAUUGCUUCUUUUGGGAGAGAGAAUA
rnacentral:misc_RNA from 1 species